rnacentral:rRNA from 1 species
GUAGGGAAUAUUGGGCAAUGGAUGCAAGUCUGACCCAGCCAUCCCGCGUGCCGGAAGAAGGCCCUCAGGGUUGUAAACGGCUUUUGACGGUGAAGAAUCGACAGGAUGCGUCCUGUUUUGACGGUAGCCGUUGAAUAAGCACCGGCUAACUCCGUGCCAGCAGCCGCGGUAAUCCGGAGGGUGCGAGCGUUGUCCGGAUUUAUUGGGUUUAAAGGGUGCGUAGGCUGGAAGGUCAGUCAGCGGUGAAAAGCUGUCGCUUAACGAUAGUCUUGCCGCAGAUACUUCCUUUCUUGGAUGAGGAGGAGGCCACUGGAACGGAUGGUGUAGCGGUGAAAUGCAUAGAUAUCAUCCAGAACACCGAUUGCGAAGGCAGGUGGCUGUACCUUAAUCGACGCUGAUGCACGAAAGCAUGGGGAGCAAACAGGAUUAGAUACCCGGGUAGUCC